rnacentral:lncRNA from 1 species
AAAAAAGAGAUACGAAAUUUUUGGCCCAUGCCUCGAAAAUGGAUUAGGGGUCUAUACAUGCCUAUCCACAACAUUGUUUAUAACGUGACCAAACCACUCCAUACACAAAACAUAAAAGUAAGGAGAUAUGGGGUCUCCUUGUCGCAAUCCACAUGUGGGACAAAAUUUAUCAAAAAUGGAUCCAUUCCAAAGGACCUGCAUAGAUGAUGAAGUCACACAAGACAUUAUUAAAUGGAUAAUGACAGAUGGAAAACCUACAUCCACCAUAGUGUCUUCCAAGAAAUCCCAACGAACUCUGUAAUAUGCUUUCUCUGAAUCAACUUUCAAUGCCAUCUAACAUUUCUGCCCUUUUUUGGAUCUCAUAAUGUGAAUAGCCUAUUGAGUAAUGAUUAUGUUAUCUGCAAUGUUCCUUUCUGCAAUAAAACUAGUUAGGUUUGGACUGAGAACAGUAGACAUGAUCGGUCUAAGGCGGAGAACAAUAGUCUUCGUUAUAAUUUUGUACAACACCGUACAUAAACUUAUCAGGUGGAAUUGAGAUAUGUAUUCAAUAUUUUGGAUUUUCGGGGUCAACACAAGUAACGUCUUAUUAAUGUUCAGAUCAAGACAUUGUCCUAGAAAAACCUUCUAAAUCAGAUCACACACAGAAUCGUCUACUGUGUCCCAUUGGGAUUGGUAGAACUUUGCAUGAAACCCAUCAAUUCCAAGAGCCUUCAAAGGUGCCAUACUAAAAAUCGCCUUGUGAAUUUCUUCACGAGACACAUUCAUUGAUAAAAGUUCUCGGUCAUCCAAAGAAAUAGAAAGAAACAUAUCGUAACAAGGAAAGGAUCCUGCAUUCCUAGAACUAGCCGUAUAAAUGUCUUAAAAAAACUCACAGCAUGUUGUUUUAUUUUGUCAUCAUCAAAACACCAACCUUCAUCUCCUAUUAUUAGCCCCUCAAUUCUAUUGGCUUUUCUUCUACCUCUCGUACGGCUGUGAAAAUACUUGGUGUUUCUAUCACCAUUUGUCAACCAAACCGAUCUAAAUUUCUGAAACCAAAGGACUUCUUCAUGUUUAAGUACAAUAUCAAUUUCCUUCCAAAUUUCAGUUUCUCUUGAGCACAACUGUAGGGAAGAUCGAAACUCUAAUAUUCUCUGUAUAUGCUCCAGUUCCCUAAUUAGUUCCUUCUUCCUAACAACAAUAUUCCCAUAGACAUUUUUAUUCCAAUCUUGUAGCACGGACUUCAAGAACUCCAAGUUCGAACCCACCUCAAUAUUUGGAUUCUAAUAUUCCUAAAUAAGAUCCCUGAAUUUUCAAUGAAGUAACCAGCUAGCUAAGAAACAAAAGGGUCAUCGAUUAACAUUGGGACAACUAAGGCUACGCGCAAUCAAAAUCGGCCGAUGAUCCAAUUUUAACCUAUGUAAAUGUCUUAUAAAAUGGUUCGAUGCAGCUACCUCCCACAAAAAAUUACAAAUAGUACGAUCAAGUAUUUGAAAAGCAUCCCUCGGUUCUAAGUAAAAUGUGGCCCUAAAAAUCCCAUAUCCUUGUGUCCAAAUUUAAAGAUGAAGCUUUUAAACAAAUCCCAACUAAAGCCCUCUCUACUUGCCCUAUCUUGUCUCUCCGGACCAUCUAAAAUGAACUUAAAAUCACCUACUAGAAUCCAUGGUUCACAGACAUUAGAAGCAAAAUCAUCUAGCGCUCUCCACAAAUCACGCCUUUUCUGUAACUAGGAACUUGCAUAAACAACAAAACAAAGAAAGGCUGAAGAACCCUGUGUAAUCCUCAUAUGGACGACCUAAUGGUGAACCUGAAUGAGAUCAACAUUAAUACAAUCAUUCCAAAGGAGACAAAUUCCCCCGAGAACUCCAAGGCUUCCAAUCUGAAAGAGUUUUGAAAUCCUAACCUACCAAGAAUUCUAUCAGCUCUACACCCACUGAUACGCGUUUCAAACAGACAAUAAAUUUGGAGAGAAUUAUCUAUUAUACUACCUUACGAAAAUAUGAAAUCUAGGAUGGCAAACACCUUGGAAGUUCCAGAAACACAUUUUAAUCUUCAUAAAAAAAAUUAAGGUUAAAGAACAGACCCAAAAAAAAAUCAGGUUAGCAAUUUGCCUGAGAAGCACCUGCUACCUCCACAUCAACUCCUUCCUUUGCCAUAGAAAGCCCACCUGAUGAACACCCCAGCCUAAUUUCCUGAUCAAUAACCCCAACAAUCCCCUUUAUUGCCUCUCCAAUUUCAACCAAAUUCUAACUUGGAUGUCCAAUCACAAUCUUCGGAGGUUGAACCCUUUCAAAAUUCCCCAUCUCCAUCGGCCUUUGACCAGAAACUUCACCAUUCAAAAUCGCACUGCCAUUCUCACAAAUACUGCUCAACUGCUUUUCUCCAUGCCUCGUGUAUGUUUUUUCAGCUGAAGCUGCUGGAUAGCUUUAUUUUUCUUUUUAUCUAAACCUCUAGAAAUU